GACGAACGCUGGCGGCGUGCUUAACACAUGCAAGUCGAACGGAAAGGCCCUGCUUUUGUGGGGUGCUCGAGUGGCGAACGGGUGAGUAACACGUGAGUAACCUGCCCUUGACUUUGGGAUAACUUCAGGAAACUGGGGCUAAUACCGGCUAGGAGCUCCUGCUGCAUGGUGGGGGUUGGAUAGUUUCGGCGGUUGGGGAUGGACUCGCGGCGUAUCAGCUUGUUGGUGGGGUAGUGGCUUACCAAGGCUUGGACGGGUAGCCGGCCUGAGAGGGUGACCGGCCACAUUGGGACGGAGAUACGGCCCAGACUCGUACGGGAGGCAGCGGUGGGGAAGAUUGUACAAUGGGCGGAAGCCUGAUGCAGCAACGCCGCGUGCGGGAUGACGGCCUGCGGGUUGUAAACCGCUUUCGCCUGUGACGAAGCGUGAGUGACGGUAAUGGGUAAAGAAGCACCGGCUAACUACGUG
rnacentral:rRNA from 1 species